CAAUCUUGAUCAAUACCAGUCACAGUGUACCUUUCUCAAAACACAGUGUCAAAAACGAAACCACAUUUAAAACCUUAUAAAGUGAUAACACACAAGUUUAUCAAGAUUAAAUAAUGUUAAAGUAUUUACAGCGAGUUAUUAAAGUUGUUUGAAAAAUACGAAAGUAUGUGAUGGCAUAAACGUAUAUCACUCGGGUAAUAUAAAAUGGGCUCGAUAAAUCUAUGUAUCAGCAUAUCGGAGAUGUCAAUAAGUCGUCCUGCUCCCCUGACACUGAACAGCGCUGCGUUGCCUCUACCCCGUGAUGAGAGGUGUCGUACACACUCAGCUGCGUAUUCUCCUGAAUAUACUUAGAUGGAGACUUCAAUUAGAUUCUGCUACAACUGCACCUGAAAAACAAAAAAAAAUACAAUUAUAAAUUAGUUUAAUACUGAACUAUAUUUAUUUUUUCAGAUAGAAACUAGAAAGAGCAACAACUAUGUCAUAUCAAAUAAAAUUAAAAAUCUACAGACACGACGUUAUUACAAAGUAACUUCAAAGUUGCAGGUUGGCUAUUAUAAAAUGUUCAUAGAAGGAUUUAUCGAUUAUUUCAAUAAUACACAAUACAGCGCAUCGCCUCAGCAUCUGAAAAAAUAGAACAAUUAAACAUUAUUAAACAUAAACGUUACUUAAGUAUUUAGGCAUAGAGAUCUGCUAUAACGUUAAUCUUUAAAGCAUCACGGCUUUCAUCAAUUAAAAUACAAUCUACUUAUUGUAUUAUAAUAGAGUAGUGUAGAAAAAGCAAUAUAUUAAACAAACGGAAAUGAAACAUCAUGUAUAAAAGGGUUGGUAAAUAAAACCUAUAGACCGCAUUAAGGCAUUCUGGUAAGACGCCAUUGUUGUCAUAUCGGUAGAUAAACUACGACAUUAAUCAAUUGCCGGCGACAAUGGAGCCGCUCACCUCAAACUUUGAUACCCGACCAAAAUCACAUGACCCCUGAACUAUGAUUAGAUUCCUCAACAGAAGUUUGAUAUGUAUACUAUUUAGGGGAAGGGGUAGAUCAAGCAUCGCCGGUGGGUAUACAUCCUAUAUUGGACGAAGUCAUCUACAUAAUAAGCUUAACUACGGUAAGGUGAAUAACGGUUGUGGCGACAAUUCGACUCUACCCACGUGGGUACAUAGUCUGGGGUUCUUGAAACUUCAGAAAUGAUCACCAAGGCAUCGAACGAUUUUUAUUAAAUGUUUGUCUAUUUAGUACUUAGAGCUACUCGUAUAUACCUUCAUUGUACAUAGCUACAACCCACAUCGCAGCAGCGUGGUGGGUCUAAGCUCCAUAUCCCUUCUCCUAUAAGGGCGGAAACCUGGCCCUGCAUUAGGUACGUUAAAAUAAGCUGAUAAUGAUAAGCUGAAAAAUCCUAUCCUACUAAUAUUAUAAACGCGAAAGUUUGUAUGGAUGUUUGGAUGUAUGUCUAGAAAGAUGUAUGGGAAUGAUAGAUUUUGAUCACGUGAUCUGUCGAUAGCAAAUGUCAUUCCCAUACUAUUUCUAAUUUUCGAAGCGUUAGCGAUCGUAAAAAGAGAAUCGACGUGCCACUUGGCUAAGGGGGCUAAUGGGUGACGGGCAGCAGCGAUAUCGAUAACCGCUGGGAGGCAGACGUCUGAUUUUGCAACAGGGCCGGAUUAAGAAGGCCUAAGGGCAGACGAAGUCACGGGCUUGUGCUAGUAGUUAGUUACUAGAUAAACAAAAUAGCUUUUCUUUCAAUAACAAAUUAGGUACAGUUUUCUUAAGCUAUAAAUACUUAAUCAAAAAUUAUCAAGAUGUUGUUAUAUAACUAAGUGCUUAGUGCUAUGCAAAGAUCAGGAGGGAAAUUAAUUUCCACGUCAUUUCACAGCGCCGUUUAAUCAUGACCCUCCUAAAGCUUUUCCACGGCAAACAAUUUAAUUAGUCGAGAAAUCCAUAGCAUGCAUAGCAAGAUUUUGCGGGAAAACCCCAUUAAUCAUACAUCCCUUUGUCUACAAACAUGUCAAAGCCCUUACCUAAGGGCUCGUGUACCUACAUGCUAAGGGCACACUUAUUACCUACGUCAAUUAAAAGUUUGAACAAAUUUGAACAAUUUUAGUUAGCACAUGAUGUUUCUUAUCGAAUGGAUAUAAUAAUAUAAAGAGGUAAAGGGUUGUAGGGAGUAAACUCUGAAACUACUAAAACAAUAUAUAUUUUUUUCCAAUAUAUGCAACAGUAUUUUGUGAGUGCUAUAAUUUAUUUUCUUAUGGCCACGGGAACGGGAACUACUGAUACUACCAAAUCUGCUAGUCUGUAUAUACGCAAAUAUAUAGGUCUGAAACGCGGUAUCUACCUAUCGCUGGAAGCUGGCGGCUCGAGAUCGUUGUGCUUGGAGGUCCAUGCAAGAGGCCUAUGUCCAACAGUGGACGUCUAUCGGCUGAUAAGGUAAGGUAAGGUAAGAUACAUUAUGUGUUAUUAUUAUCAGUUGAUACUAGAUAUUUAAUUUAACUUUUACUUAAACAGCAAGCAAGCAGGUAAGUAGGUACACAAGUUAUUACAUAAAAGUAAGUAUAUAAAAUAUUACGUAGAUAAGAUGUCAUGUUACAUUUCUGAGCUACGCUAGGGUAGAAAGAAGCCCUUUAUCCACGGUGUCCCUGUGUCUAAUAGUUGUUUAAAAGCCGUAGAAACUCAUUCUUUACAAAGCAGCGCUUUCCUGCGCGAGCCACAAGGUCGGUUCUCAUCAUUUGCAUAGUGUCGUGAUUGCAGUCACGUUUAUUUGCUUGUGUCACUUGGGCCUUAAUGUCUCACUUUCGAAUCGCAAUAGUUGAUUAUUAUGUAUUUGUAAUGACUGUUCAUACAAAUGUAAAUAUAUUUGGUAGCUACUUACGAUUAUAUUUCAAGUUAGUUUAAUGGAAAACUAUGUAUAUAAAGUACAGAUUACAGGUUAAGAGAUCAAUCUAAAUAUUUUAUACAGAAUCUAAUUACACCCUAAGCCUAUCAACCCGCUUAACUCAGCAAACAGAGAAUUGAAUUAAAUUGAAUUUGGAUUUGCGAGGUCUAUAUAAAAUCCAAUUUCCUCAUCUUUGAGGAGAGAUGCCUGAUCCUGCAGUGGUCGAUAAUAAUAGAUUGAUUAUGAUGAGUAACAAACAUUGCUAAACCAAACAGUAGGUACGAUUUAGUACCGCUUCCACUCCACUAGGUUACUUCUUCUGUAUGUCUGUUAGGUACAUCUUCGAUGCUGUGUAGCAUCCAAAAGCUCCGGAAAGCUAUUUAUGAGUAUGGCGACUAUAAACUCUUUCUCAUGUAUUUAGUAUCAAUUAUACAGCACAAUUAAAACAAUGAAGGUAUAACUGCAUACCUGAGAAUAUUCUUAAUUGUCUACGUGUGUGAAGUCUGCCAAUCCGCAUUGGGCCAGCGUGGUAACUAAGGCCUAACCCCACUGAUUCUGAGAGGAAACUCGUGCUCAAUAGUGAGCCGAAUACGGGUUGUUAAUAAUGAUGAUGAUACUAACUUGCUACUACCACUAACUAAUGCCUAGUCUCAGACGGUAUCAUACCAAUAGAAAAAAAAAUUAUAGUAAUUUAUGCAAGUUUUCACAUCUUGAUGUAAAACAUUCAAAGUAUGUAAUACUUCGUACUAUGAAAGUAAUAGAUACUUUGCCGAGCCGAUGGACGUUGGGGUCCCAAAGUGCUGGAAUGGCGACCCCGCACUAGUAAGCGCAGUGUUGGCCAACCCCCCACCAGGUGGACUGACGACAUCAAGCGAGUCGCAGAGAUUCGCUGGAUGCAGGCGGCUCAGUAUCGUGAUGUUUGGAAGUCCCUACAAAAGGCCUAUGUCCUGCAGUAUACGUCCAUUGGCUGAUAUGAUGAUGAUGAUGAUCUAAUACUAUCAAAUCAUUAAUUAACUGCAUUAGUUUACUACUACAAACUGUAUAAAAACUAAAAAUCUACAAUCCUAGAUGUAGGUAAGUAUAAACAAAUUCCACACAAGCUACAGAAGAGACGCAGGAUUCAAAUGGGCGAAUGUCGAAGGCUUCCGUUUAAUAUCCGGUUCGGGCGCUCGCAUUCUGUAUUCUAACUUCGUUUCAUUGACACUUAUUAUACUGUCCUAUGUAAUACCUGCUAUGUGUUUUAUGUAAUAAAACUUUUAUACAUUCUGGAA